AAGGAAAAGUCUAUGUAAUCAUACUAAAUUUUUAAAAAAUUAUUUUAAAAAAUAUGGCAAGCGAUAAAAUUAUAGCUACAAUUUUAAAAAUUAAAGUCGAUUAGGAACCAUCGAUUACACUCAUUUUCAUAUUUUUGUGUUGAACAUAAGCCGUUGAAAAUGAUUUUGAAUUAUUGUAUAAAUUUAAAUAUUUAAUAAAACCGCCCUCAACCCCACCUUGAACUGAACUGAAGUGGCCAGGGAGAGUAAAACGAUAAAUGUCAUAAUAUUUAUUGUCCAUGAUAAAUACGAACAAGGUUAUCCAAGAAAACAAAAUGGCGAACUAGGGAAUAUUUUCAGUUCGAUUUAGGCUUUCAAAAUUCGCCUGUGCUGUGACUACUCACUGUGACUGUGAGUUCUAUACUGUGGAUUAUACAACUGCAUACAGAGAAGACAAAAGUCAAGAUGAAGCUCAAUUUAAAAACUGAUCCAAGGAUACAUGUUGGACUCAAGAAAACUUGUUCAUAUUGAACAACUAUUUUUUAUUAUGUUAGUUCUGAAUGAAUAUGGCAAUUAAAAAAAGAAAAU